GAGUAGGGCGGGACACGUGGUAUCCUGUCUGAAUAUGGGGGGACCAUCCUCCAAGGCUAAAUACUCCUGACUGACCGAUAGUGAACCAGUACCGUGAGGGAAAGGCGAAAAGAACCCCGGCGAGGGGAGUGAAAAAGAACCUGAAACCGUGUACGUACAAGCAGUGGGAGCCUCUUUAUGGGGUGACUGCGUACCUUUUGUAUAAUGGGUCAGCGACUUAUAUUCUGUAGCAAGGUUAACCGAAUAGGGGAGCCGAAGGGAAACCGAGUCUUAACUGGGCGUUAAGUUGCAGGGUAUAGACCCGAAACCCGGUGAUCUAGCCAUGGGCAGGUUGAAGGUUGGGUAACACUAACUGGAGGACCGAACCGACUAAUGUUGAAAAAUUAGCGGAUGACUUGUGGCUGGGGGUGAAAGGCCAAUCAAACCGGGAGAUAGCUGGUUCUCCCCGAAAGCU
rnacentral:rRNA from 1 species